rnacentral:misc_RNA from 1 species
GUCAUAUGUUCAGCUGUCUUUGUUGACAUAUAUAACCUUCGUAGUCUUCGUGUUAGAGGAAAUUAAUGUAGUAUUUUAUAUGGAAUGCCCUUUUGCUUUUCAUCACCAAUUCAACUAGGCUUGUAACAUGGGUGACCACAUUUUGGACAAUCCCUUAUGUCUUAAUAUAGGAUACAACCUGUAUUACACACAUCUAUCUUUUCAUAUCCU